GAUACCUUAUUCUCACCACAUCCCCAGUGCUGGAGGUGUUGUUGCUGCUGCUGCAAGAUGUUCACUUGAAGUACUGUUAAAAAAAAGAAGGAAAUCUCCUGGCCUUGACGGCUUGACAUCUGAAUGGUUAACAUUACCCAGUUCAGGAAAAAUCCAUUGAAAGUGCAGACAUGAUGCCUGCUGCAACCAGAUGAUAUGACUUCAGUCUAUUAAAUAUCAGGACUACAG